GGCUUCAUAGCUUAGUUGGUUAGAGCGUCGCACCGGUACCGCGAGGUCACGAGCUCAAACCGCGUUGAAGUCC
rnacentral:tRNA from 1 species